rnacentral:piRNA from 1 species
GCCAAAUCCAAGUGGUUCAAUCCUCAGUAC